UACGGAGGGUGCGAGCGUUGUCCGGAAUCAUUGGGCGUAAAGGGCGCGUAGGUGGCCCGGCAAGCGUGCGGUGAAAGUCGGGGGCUCAACCCCCGAUCGGCCGUGCGAACUGCGGGGCUGGAGCACUGUAGAGGCAGGCGGAAUUCCGGGUGUAGCGGUGGAAUGCGUAGAGAUCCGGAAGAACACCGGUGGCGAAGGCGGCCUGCUGGGCAGUUUUGCUGACAUUGAGGCGCGACAGCGUGGGGAGCAAACAGG
rnacentral:rRNA from 1 species